AAAUUGAAGAGUUUGAUCAUGGCUCAGAUUGAACGCUGGCGGCAGGCCUAACACAUGCAAGUCGAGCGGUAGCACAGAGAGCUUGCUCUCGGGUGACGAGCGGCGGACGGGUGAGUAAUGUCUGGGAAACUGCCUGAUGGAGGGGGAUAACUACUGGAAACGGUAGCUAAUACCGCAUAACGUCGCAAGACCAAAGUGGGGGACCUUCGGGCCUCAUGCCAUCAGAUGUGCCCAGAUGGGAUUAGCUAGUAGGUGGGGUAAUGGCUCACCUAGGCGACGAUCCCUAGCUGGUCUGAGAGGAUGACCAGCCACACUGGAACUGAGACACGGUCCAGACUCCUACGGGAGGCAGCAGUGGGGAAUAUUGCACAAUGGGCGCAAGCCUGAUGCAGCCAUGCCGCGUGUGUGAAGAAGGCCUUCGGGUUGUAAAGCACUUUCAGCGGGGAGGAAGGCGGUGAGGUUAAUAACCUCAUCGAUUGACGUUACCCGCAGAAGAAGCACCGGCUAACUCCGUGCCAGCAGCCGCGGUAAUACGGAGGGUGCAAGCGUUAAUCGGAAUUACUGGGCGUAAAGCGCACGCAGGCGGUCUGUCAAGUCGGAUGUGAAAUCCCCGGGCUCAACCUGGGAACUGCAUUCGAAACUGGCAGGCUAGAGUCUUGUAGAGGGGGUAGAAUUCCAGGUGUAGCGGUGAAAUGCGUAGAGAUCUGGAGGAAUACCGGUGGCGAAGGCGGCCCCCUGGACAAAGACUGACGCUCAGGUGCGAAAGCGUGGGGAGCAAACAGGAUUAGAUACCCUGGUAGUCCACGCCGUAAACGAUGUCGAUUUGGAGGUUGUGCCCUUGAGGCGUGGCUUCCGGAGCUAACGCGUUAAAUCGACCGCCUGGGGAGUACGGCCGCAAGGUUAAAACUCAAAUGAAUUGACGGGGGCCCGCACAAGCGGUGGAGCAUGUGGUUUAAUUCGAUGCAACGCGAAGAACCUUACCUGGUCUUGACAUCCACAGAACUUUCCAGAGAUGGAUUGGUGCCUUCGGGAACUGUGAGACAGGUGCUGCAUGGCUGUCGUCAGCUCGUGUUGUGAAAUGUUGGGUUAAGUCCCGCAACGAGCGCAACCCUUAUCCUUUGUUGCCAGCGGUUAGGCCGGGAACUCAAAGGAGACUGCCAGUGAUAAACUGGAGGAAGGUGGGGAUGACGUCAAGUCAUCAUGGCCCUUACGACCAGGGCUACACACGUGCUACAAUGGCAUAUACAAAGAGAAGCGACCUCGCGAGAGCAAGCGGACCUCAUAAAGUAUGUCGUAGUCCGGAUUGGAGUCUGCAACUCGACUCCAUGAAGUCGGAAUCGCUAGUAAUCGUAGAUCAGAAUGCUACGGUGAAUACGUUCCCGGGCCUUGUACACACCGCCCGUCACACCAUGGGAGUGGGUUGCAAAAGAAGUAGGUAGCUUAACCUUCGGGAGGGCGCUUACCACUUUGUGAUUCAUGACUGGGGUGAAGUCGUAACAAGGUAACCGUAGGGGAACCUGCGGUUGGAUCACCUCCUUA
rnacentral:rRNA from 1 species